rnacentral:tRNA from 1 species
AGUCUCGGGGUGUAACACGUCAGAUUGCAAAUCUGAAGAAGCAGAGUAAACGUCUGCCGGGACUU